GAUGAACGCUGGCGGCGUGCCUAAUGCAUGCAAGUCGAGCGAACGGACGAGAAGCUUGCUUCUCUGAUGUUAGCGGCGGACGGGUGAGUAACACGUGGAUAACCUACCUAUAAGACUGGGAUAACUUCGGGAAACCGGAGCUAAUACCGGAUGAUAUUUUGAACCGCAUGGUUCAAAAGUGAAAGACGGUCUUGCUGUCACUUAUAGAUGGAUCCGCGCUGCAUUAGCUAGUUGGUAAGGUAACGGCUUACCAAGGCAACGAUGCAUAGCCGACCUGAGAGGGUGAUUGGCCACACUGGAACUGAGACACGGUCCAGACUCCUACGGGAGGCAGCAGUAGGGAAUCUUCCGCAAAGGGCGAAAGCCUGACGGAGCAACGCCGCGUGAGUGAUGAAGGUCUUCGGAUCGUAAAACUCUGUUAUUAGGGAAGAACAUAUGUGUAAGUAACUGUGCACAUCUUGACGGUACCUAAUCAGAAAGCCACGGCUAACUACGUG
rnacentral:rRNA from 1 species